CCGUUAGAGAUAUCAUCUCUAUUCCAUGCCUGAUGUGUAGAGUUUUGUCCUCUCUUUUUUGUGAUUGUCAAAUGUUUUGUUCUUUUUCUCUGUUCAUUUUUUUUUCAGGUGUUUGUUUUGUUUGGUGGUGUACAGCGUGCACGCUGGUUUUUCUGUUCAUCUUAUUCCUAGGUGUUUGUUUUGUUUGGUGGUGUUCAGUGUUUUUUCAAAUUUUUUGUUUGUUUUAGUGUUACAUUUUUGUGGCACAACAGAGGAAGAGACAGAACAGAGAAAGAGGCAGAGGCAGAGCAACCAAGGGCAAUUUCUUCUUCUUUCAGGGUAAAAUUGAGGAUACUGAUGGUGACGGUGCCAAUGGGGGCAAGCUUCCUGAAAAUGGUGAAGAGAAAAAGCCUAAAUAGAAGAAGUCUAAGUAGCCAAAGGUCCCUGUCUGAAGCAGCAACGAAAAUUGAUCAUGGAAAUCUUGUUGAUUUUCUUACAAAAGUCAGGGGAUCUUUGUCCAGGCAAUUAAAGGGAUUUGCGGAUUAUUUUGCAAGUGCAUUUGUUGCUGGUAACCCUACGCAGUUUCCUAUCAAUAAAAUACUAGUUGAUUUGAUUUGUUCUGGAAUAUGAAUUAUUCUACCGUGGCCAAGCUUGCAGAAACACCUCUUUGUCACAUUUCUGAAGCUGUUUAUAAGACUAGAUGAAUCGACAACCAUCAGAGGCUCUGAAGGAAUUCAUGUUGUGGGCUCUAGGUAGUGUCUUGCAAGAUGUAGCCACUCAACAGGCAGGCCACAAAGGAUCAAGAAAACACAACCAGUUGUAGUUAAAGGAGCGAUAGCGAUAUUUGUGGUCUUAGCAAUGCUAUUGAGGAAGAGGCUUGACCUCUUGUUGCAACUCUCAUCAACAAUAAAGACUGAACCACAGUUUCAGGACCAGGACAAAGUGUACACGAUUGAUUGUUUGGGCCAUCAAACAGGUAAAAAAUGGAAGCUUGUGAAGCAAGUGGUGAAGGACGUUUUCCAGACAUUAGAUGUUGGAUGUGGCCAAAUCAAGGCGCACAGAGAGUUCAGAAAUUUAAGCAACAUUCCGUGCCUUCUGUCAAGAGAAAAAGAAUGGAUAGAUUACAAGUUCACAGCAUGUUGCAAGCAAAAACAUUACAGGUUGCUAUUGGAAGAGGUGGGUUGAAGGACAUUCUCCCAACAAUGGGUGUCAGUUUGAUGAUGACAAGAAGAGUAGCAAGGGAUGUGAUUAGAUCAUUUCUUUAGUAACAUUUUGGUCAAGGGUAUUGACCUCGUAGCAGUGUAACAUGGUCAAUGGUAUUGACCUAAUAGCAUUGUAACAUGUACUAAAAUAAUGAUUAAUAAAAAAAAUUAUUGGAAGGGGAUAAAAAUCCCUUCCAAAGACCAAAGGGAAUAACCAAUGGCCAUGGUUAUUCCUUAAGGUCGAGUGUUUGUCUC